rnacentral:rRNA from 1 species
CCUACGGGUGGCAGCAGUGGGGAAUAUUGCACAAUGGGCGCAAGCCUGAUGCAGCCAUGCCGCGUGUAUGAAGAAGGCCUUCGGGUUGUAAAGUACUUUCAGCGGGGAGGAAGGGAGUAAAGUUAAUACCUUUACUCAUUGACGUUACCCGCAGAAGAAGCACCGGCUAAAUCCGUGCCAGCAACCGCGGUAAUACGGAGGGUGCAAGCGUUAAUCGGAAUUACUGGGCGUAAAGCGCACGCCGGCGGGUUGUUAAGGCAGAGGUGAAAUCCCCGGGCGCAACCUGGAAAUCGCAUUGGAUACUGGCAAGCUUGAGUCUCAGAGAGGGGGGUAGAAUUCCAGGUGUAGCGGUGAAAUGCGUAGAGAUCUGGAGGAAUACCGGUGGCGAAGGCGGCCCCCUGGACGAAGACUGACGCUCAGGUGCGAAAGCGUGGGGAGCAAACAGGAUUAGAUACCCGGGUAGUC